rnacentral:rRNA from 2 species
AUUAUACGGCGAAACUGCGAAUGGCUCAUUAAAUCAGUUAUCGUUUAUUUGAUAGUACCUUACUACUUGGAUAACCGUGGUAAUUCUAGAGCUAAUACAUGCUUAAAAUCCCGACUCACGAAGGGAUGUAUUUAUUAGAUUAAAAACCAAUGCCCUUCGGGGCUCUUUGGUGAUUCAUAAUAACUUUUCGAAUCGCAUGGCCUUGCGCCGGCGAUGGUUCAUUCAAAUUUCUGCCCUAUCAACUUUCGAUGGCAGGGUCUUGGCCUGCCAUGGUGACAACGGGUAACGGAGGGUUAGGGCUCGACCCCGGAGAAGGAGCCUGAGAAACGGCUACUACAUCCAAGGAAGGCAGCAGGCGCGCAAAUUACCCAAUCCCGACUCGGGGAGGUAGUGACAAUAAAUACUGAUACAGGGCUCUUUUGGGUCUUGUAAUUGGAAUGAGUACAAUUUAAAUCCCUUAACGAGGAACAAUUGGAGGGCAAGUCUGGUGCCAGCAGCCGCGGUAAUUCCAGCUCCAAUAGCGUAUAUUAAAGUUGUUGCAGUUAAAAAGCUCGUAGUUGAACCUUGGGCCUGGCUGGCCGGUCCGCCUCACCGCGUGCACUGGUUCGGCCGGGCCUUUCCCUCUGGGGAACCGCAUGCCCUUCACUGGGUGUGUCGGGGAACCAGGACUUUUACUGUGAAAAAAUUAGAGUGUUCAAAGCAGGCCUAUGCUCGAAUACAUUAGCAUGGAAUAAUAGAAUAGGACGUGUGGUUCUAUUUUGUUGGUUUCUAGGACCGCCGUAAUGAUUAAUAGGGACAGUCGGGGGCAUCAGUAUUCAAUUGUCAGAGGUGAAAUUCUUGGAUUUAUUGAAGACUAACUACUGCGAAAGCAUUUGCCAAGGAUGUUUUCAUUAAUCAGGAACGAAAGUUAGGGGAUCGAAGACGAUCAGAUACCGUCGUAGUCUUAACCAUAAACUAUGCCGACUAGGGAUCGGGCGAUGUUAUCAUUUGACUCGCUCGGCACCUUACGAGAAAUCAAAGUCUU